rnacentral:misc_RNA from 1 species
UGUAUACUCGUAUAUGUAUGUGUGAGACUAUUUUACUCAACUUUGGAAUGUGGAAACAUUAUCGUGGCGGAGUAUUUUAGAUAGGACUUCGUCACAUCAAAUCAUUCCCUGUGAUGUCUGUCGAAAAGGUAUCGGAAGAAAACAGUAAUAUCGAAGGUUCCCGGGAUGCUCUUGAACAUUACAAAGAGUCCGUCCCAGGUCUACAUCACGUCAAAUCACUGCCACUCAUCCCUGUCGUGAAAGAGGAUAACAUCAGAAAUCUUCAGGAUAUGGAAAUACGAGAUGACGAUGUCUUAGUAGCAGGUUAUCCUAAAUCAGGUACCCAUUGGCUAGAGGAGAUCCUGUCGCUGUUAUUUGGUCAACAAAAUGGCAAGAAACUCCGAAUGCAUAGCAUAGACUUCGUUCCGAGUCUAACAACAAAGGAAAACGACGACCUACUGCCUAUGAUAAGUAACCUACCAUCACCCAGAGUAUUAGCUACCCACUUACCAUAUGAGUACAUGCCCCCUGGGGUCAAGGCCGGUAAAUGUAAAACCAUAUGCAUUGUGAGGAAUCCAAAAGAUGUCGCUGUCAGUUAUUUCCACUACCACAAGAAUACAAACGCACUUGGACUUUACGAUGGGUCUUGGGAGCAAUUCUUAGAAGUUUUCCACAAAGGAGAAGUUGUCCUCGGAGAUUGGUAUGAACACGUCUUAAGCUGGUGGCUCCACGCCAAGGACUCCAACAUACACUUCUGUUGUUUUGAAGACAUGAAGAAGCAUCCACAAAAGGAAAUAGAGCGUCUCGCUGCAUUCCUUGACAAACCUGUUUCGGAGGAAAUCACAAAGGGUAUUGCAAAGGCCACGAACUUCGACAAGAUGCGCCGUACGGCCAAGAACAACCAGGGUGUCUGCAUAUUUGACCAAUCAAUACCAAAGUUUAUGAGAAAGGGAAAGGUUGGCGAUUGGAAAAACUACUUCACCGUCUCGCAAAAUGAAAAAUUCGACAAGCACCACAGCAACAAGAUCGGAGACAUUGGUAUACAUAUACCAUUUGAAAUAAACCAUUAGGCGUUCCGUUUAAAAAGGUGAAAUAAAAGCUUAUGGACUAUACGCAGGGAUUGUGUGCUUGAGGGUAAAACGUCUUAUCCCCUCUGGAACAUAGCAGGCCCGUAGCCAGAGUGGGAGCUGGUCAGAAAUUCUUUCAAAAUCAUGCAGUUUUUCACCAUUCUGAGAAUUUUUCGCAUGAUUUUUAGCCAAAAUUAUGAAAAAGCCCCCCCC